rnacentral:rRNA from 1 species
AACGAACGCUGGCGGCAUGCCUAAUACAUGCAAGUCGAACGAGAUCUUCGGAUCUAGUGGCGCACGGGUGCGUAACGCGUGGGAAUCUGCCCUUGGGUUCGGAAUAACAGUUGGAAACGACUGCUAAUACCGGAUGAAGACGUAAGUCCAAAGAUUUAUCGCCCAGGGAUGAGCCCGCGUAGGAUUAGGUAGUUGGUGAGGUAAAGGCUCACCAAGCCUGCGAUCCUUAGCUGGUCUGAGAGGAUGAUCAGCCACACUGGGACUGAGACACGGCCCAGACUCCUACGGGAGGCAGCAGUAGGGAAUAUUGGACAAUGGGGGCAACCCUGAUCCAGCAAUGCCGCGUGAGCGAUGAAGGCCUUAGGGUUGUAAAGCUCUUUUACCCGGGAUGAUAAUGACAGUACCGGGAGAAUAAGCCCCGGCUAACUCCGUGCCAGCCGCCGCCGUAAGAC